AGUGAACGCUGACGGUAGGCCUAACACAUGCAAGUCGAACGGCAGCACAGUAAGAGCUUGCUCUUACGGGUGGCGAGUGGCGGACGGGUGAGGAAUACAUCGGAAUCUACUUUUUCGUGGGGGAUAACGUAGGGAAACUUACGCUAAUACCGCAUACGACCUACGGGUGAAAGCAGGGGAUCUUCGGACCUUGCGCGAUUGAAUGAGCCGAUGUCGGAUUAGCUAGUUGGCGGGGUAAAGGCCCACCAAGGCGACGAUCCGUAGCUGGUCUGAGAGGAUGAUCAGCCACACUGGAACUGAGACACGGUCCAGACUCCUACGGGAGGCAGCAGUGGGGAAUAUUGGACAAUGGGCGCAAGCCUGAUCCAGCCAUACCGCGUGGGUGAAGAAGGCCUUCGGGUUGUAAAGCCCUUUUGUUGGGAAAGAAAAGCAGCAGGUUAAUACCCCGCUGUUCUGACGGUACCCAAAGAGUAAGCACCGGCUAACUUCGUG
rnacentral:rRNA from 1 species